UGUAAGCGUAUACCAAAGUUGUUGCAGUUAAAACGCUCGUAGUCGGAAUUUGGCAGUUCCGGAUGUGUGCACGUCGUGUGCGCACUUCGCGGGGAUUGCUUUUGUGGUCUUGCGUAGGAUGAGGCACUUUUAUUAGUGAACGUACUCACGCAACCACUUUUUACUGUGAGAAAAUCAGAGUGCUCAAAGCAGGCAUUUGCCGUGAAUGUAUUAGCAUGGAAUAAUAGAAUAGGACUUGGUUCUAUUUUGUUGGUUUGUUGGGACUGAGUAAUGAUUAAGAGGGACAGUUGGGGGCAUUUGUAUUUCGGUGCUAGAGGUGAAAUUCUUAGAUUACCGAAAGACAAACUGCUGCGAAAGCGUCUGCCAAGGAUGUUUUCAUUGA
rnacentral:rRNA from 1 species